AGGAGCCGUGUGAGAUGAAAGUCUCAUGCACGGUUUUGAAUGAGAGGAAAAAACCGAAUAUUUCACAUAGUGCUUUUAAUCAAUCUGAUUUAUUUCGU
rnacentral:ncRNA from 1 species